CCUACGGGGGACAGCAGUGGGGAAUAUUGCACAAUGGGGGAAACCCUGAUGCAGCGACGCCGCGUGAGUGAAGAAGUAUUUCGGUACGUAAAGCUCUAUCAGCAGGGAAGAAAAUGACGGUACCUGACUAAGAAGCCCCGGCUAACUACGUGCCAGCAGCCGCGGUAAUACGUAGGGGGCAAGCGUUAUCCGGAUUUACUGGGUGUAAAGGGAGCGUAGACGGCAGUGCAAGUCUGGAGUGAAAUCCCAUGGCUUAACCAUGGAACUGCUUUGGAAACUGUGCAGCUAGAGUGCAGGAGAGGUAAGCGGAAUUCCUAGUGUAGCGGUGAAAUGCGUAGAUAUUAGGAGGAACACCAGUGGCGAAGGCGGCUUACUGGACUGUAACUGACGUUGAGGCUCGAAAGCGUGGGGAGCAAACAGGAUUAGAUACCCCAGUAGUC
rnacentral:rRNA from 1 species